rnacentral:tRNA from 1 species
UCUAGUUGAAGAGAAUAUGGAUAAGCUUCUAACUUCGUCCUUCAGCAUUUGUUGUCUCUUCUA